CUUGGUCAUUUAGAGGAAGUAAAAGUCGUAACAAGGUCUCCGUUGGUGAACCAGCGGAGGGAUCAUUACCGAGUUUACAACUCCCAAACCCCUGUGAACAUACCUAUCGUUGCCUCGGCGGUGCCCGCUCCGGCGGCCCGCCAGAGGACCCCAAACUCUUGUUUUAUACAGUAUCUUCUGAGUAACACGAUUAAAUAAAUCAAAACUUUCAACAACGGAUCUCUUGGUUCUGGCAUCGAUGAAGAACGCAGCGAAAUGCGAUAAGUAAUGUGAAUUGCAGAAUUCAGUGAAUCAUCGAGUCUUUGAACGCACAUUGCGCCCGCCAGUAUUCUGGCGGGCAUGCCUGUUCGAGCGUCAUUUCAACCCUCAAGCCCCCGGGCUUGGUGUUGGGGAUCGGCGUGCCCUCGCGGCGCGCCGUCCCCGAAAUCUAGUGGCGGUCUCGCUGUAGCUUCCUCUGCGUAGUAGCACACCUCGCACUGGAAAGCAGCGCGGCCACGCCGUUAAACCCCCCACUUCUGAAAGGUUGACCUCGGAUCAGGUAGGAAUACCCGCUGAACUUAAGCAUAUCAAUAAGCGGAGGA
rnacentral:rRNA from 1 species